UUUCCAGACUCCUACGGGAGGCAGCAGUGGGGAAUAUUGCACAAUGGGGGAAACCCUGAUGCAGCAACGCCGCGUGAAGGAAGACGGUUUUCGGAUUGUAAACUUCUGUUCUUAGUGAAGAAGAAUGACGGUAGCUAAGGAGCAAGCCACGGCUAACUACGUGCCAGCAGCCGCGGUAAUACGUAGGUGGCAAGCGUUGUCCGGAAUUACUGGGUGUAAAGGGAGCGCAGGCGGGAAGCCAAGUCAGCUGUGAAAACUACGGGCUUAACUUGUAGACUGCAGUUGAAACUGGUUUUCUUGAGUGAAGUAGAGGUUGGCGGAAUUCCGAGUGUAGCGGUGAAAUGCUUAGAUAUUGCGCAGAACUCCGAUUGCGAAGGCAGCAUACCGGCGGCGAUCUGACGCUGAGGCACGAAAGCGUGGGUAUCGAACAGGAUUAGAUACCCUAGUAUU
rnacentral:rRNA from 1 species